GACGAACGCUGGCGGCGUGCUUAACACAUGCAAGUCGAGCGGUAAGGCCCUUUCGGGGUACGACGAGCGGCGAACGGGUGAGUAACACGUGGGUGACCUGCCCUUAGCUCUGGGAUAAGCCUGGGAAACUGGGUCUAAUACCGGAUAUGACUCCAUGACGCAUGUUGUGGGGUGGAAAGCCUUGUGCGGCUAGGGAUGGGCCUGCGGCCUAUCAGCUUGUUGGUGGGGUGAUGGCCUACCAAGGCGACGACGGGUAGCCGGCCUGAGAGGGCGACCGGCCACACUGGGACUGAGACACGGCCCAGACUCCUACGGGAGGCAGCAGUGGGGAAUCUUGCGCAAUGGGCGAAAGCCUGACGCAGCGACGCCGCGUGGGGAUGACGGCCU
rnacentral:rRNA from 1 species